GAUGAAGAACGCAGCGAAAUGCGAUAAGUAAUGUGAAUUGCAGAAUUCAGUGAAUCAUCGAAUCUUUGAACGCACAUUGCGCCCCCCGGUAUUCCGGCGGGCAUGCCUGUUCGAGCGUCAUUGCUGCCCUCAAGCACGGCUUGUGUGUUGGGCCCCGUCCUCCGAUCCCGGGGGACGGGCCCGAAAGGCAGCGGCGGCACCGCGUCCGGUCCUCGAGCGUAUGGGGCUUUGUCACCCGCUCUGUAGGCCCGGCCGGCGCUUGCCGAUCAACCCAAAUUUUUUAUCCAGGUUGACCUCGGAUCAGGUAGGGAUACCCGCUGAACUUAAGCAUAUCAAUAAGCGGAGGA
rnacentral:misc_RNA from 1 species